rnacentral:rRNA from 1 species
UACGGAGGGUGCAAGCGUUAUCCGGAAUCACUGGGUUUAAAGGGUGCGUAGGCGGUUUUAUAAGUCAGUCGUGAAAUACUCCGGCUUAACCGGUAGACGUGCGAUUGAUACUGUGAGACUUGAAUCAGGUUGAGGUAGGCGGAAUGUGGCAUGUAGCGGUGAAAUGCUUAGAUAUGCCAUAGAACACCGAUUGCGAAGGCAGCUUGCUGGGCCUGUAUUGACGCUGAGGCACGAAAGCGUGGGGAGCAAACAGG